rfam:Elusimicrobia bacterium RIFCSPHIGHO2_02_FTLL_57_9 rifcsphigho2_02_scaffold_45884, whole genome shotgun sequence.
GCCGGCGUGGCGGAACUGGCAGACGCAAGCGACUCAAAAUCGCUCGGUGCCUCGCACCGUGUGGGUUCGACUCCCUCCGCCGGCA